UGCGAGAUGAAUUCUCAAAACAGGAAAAAACAAAAGUGGAGGCAUCGAAUGGGACCUAUUAAUUUUGCAAGAGUACGCGUGGCAUUGCCAAAGACAACAACGAAGAACCAUCAAAGCCUGAAAUGUUUAUUGCAACUCGUACCAAGACGGGAAAGGAAAUCCAGGCUGAUACCCAAGUUGCAAUAGCUGAACUUCAAAAUCGCCAA